rnacentral:rRNA from 1 species
UAUUAUACUUAAUUGAAAUUUUGUUUAAGCUUGAGUAGUAAUCAGUUAUGUUCUUGAAACUUAAAGGAUUUGGCGGUAUCUUAGUCUAGUUAGAGGAACCUGUUUUAUAAACGAUAAACCACGAAAUAUCUUACUUUCUUUAGUAAAAUCAGUUUGUAUACCGUCAUUAUUAGAUAAUCUUUAUAAAGAGUUAUUGGAAUAGAGUUUUACUAAAAUAUUAGAUCAAGGUGCAGCCAAUGGGAGAGAAAGUAAUGGGUUACAAUGUUAUUUAGUAUAUACGGAGAGGAGAUAGAAUAUUUCCUGGAAGGUGGAUUUAAUAGUAAUUGUAUUUUAAUAAGGAACAAUGAUAUUAGCUCUAUGAUAU